rnacentral:rRNA from 1 species
GAUGAACGCUGGCGGCGUGCUUAACACAUGCAAGUCGAACGAAGCAUUUAAGACAGAUUACUUCGGUUUGAAGUCUUUUAUGACUGAGUGGCGGACGGGUGAGUAACGCGUGGGUAACCUGCCUCAUACAGGGGGAUAGCAGCUGGAAACGGCUGGUAAUACCGCAUAAGCGCACAGUACCACAUGGUACAGUGUGAAAAACUCCGGUGGUAUGAGAUGGACCCGCGUCUGAUUAGCUUGUUGGCGGGGUAACGGCCCACCAAGGCGACGAUCAGUAGCCGACCUAAGAGGGUGACCGGCCACAUUGGGACUGAGACACGGCCCAGACUCCUACGGGAGGCAGCAGUGGGGAAUAUUGCACAAUGGAGGAAACUCUGAUGCAGCGACGCCGCGUGAGUGAAGAAGUAGUUCGCUAUGUAAAGCUCUAUCAGCAGGGAAGAUAGUGACGGUACCUGACUAAGAAGCUCCGGCUAAAUACGUG